GGAGACCCGCGGCGGGGAGCGAGGGGCGGGGCCUCCCCGUCGCCCUAGGCGACCGCUCCCGGCCUUCCCUUGGGCCAGUAAAGGGGGGCGGGGUUGGGAAGAGGCAGUGCUACCAUGGUAACCAGAAGGCGCGUCUAGUCUAGGCUCUCGGGCCAGGCAGGCUGCCACAAUGGUUGGCCUACAAGUAGUGUGCUGCCCUUACACUCCCGCAGUUGACCCCUCACCCUCCCAAUGCUGACUCGCCACCACCUACCCGAUAGGGUACCCGGUGUCCUCUCCACAAGAUAAACAUCCUACAAGCCUCUGCUUCCACCCACCCCGCACAGUCUCCAAAACCAGGUAGUAAGAAAAGCCUAGACGUUCUGGGCCUCAUCUUCAAGAGAACCCCACUCUGCGGCCUCCUCUCACAGUCUGCUCAGGUGAGGAAGAUAUCUUAUGGCCCCAUUUUAUCAGGAAGGAAUCUUCUAUUACGGACUGCUGUUACCAGAUGCUUGAAGCAACAGCAAGAUGAGUGCCUGGAAAACUAUACUGUGGAACGGAGCCUCCAUUCUAUGUUAUAACUUUCACCAAUUUCACUGCCACUUCUGUGUCCAGGGAAACAGGUGGAUUGACUCCUGAUAGCCUUUAAAAAAGCAUGACGGAUGGGCAGCGAGGGGCCCAGUGCUAUUGUUUUCCUGGUGACCAACAAUACAACAACAUAUCAACAGGGGAAGACUAGCAAAUCGGCGUACAAGCCCCCAAGGACACCUGCCACAGCAUGGCUUGACAAGUGGUGGGCAGGUCCACACCUGGGAUCCAACUCGGCGAACCCCAGGCCACUGAAGCAGAGCUUGUGAACUUAACCACGGCGCCACGAAGCGUGCCCCAGUGUGCUCGUCUCUUUAUACCCUGCUGCCUCCCUGUGCUCAUCAGUGGGGUGUGUAGGGAGAGAAUGAAGGAGAAGCUGUGACAGCUGAGAUGAAAAAUGAAUAUUGAAGGAUACAGACAGACUUGUGAGUGGGCACGAGGUGGGUGGGAGGUGUCAAUUUUGCAGGGGAGACAUAGCCACACAUGGAGUUGAGGGCAGGAAAAGAUCAGUGUGGAAAGGAUAAGUGACCAAUGAGGUUGCAGAUGACAAGGUGAGAGAAUAGGGAAAAGUAUGUAUGAUGGUGAUUACAUCAGAGAGUGACAGUGGGUUCCUGCAACUGUUACUGGCUGCAAAAUGGGGGUCUCUCUGGCCUGGGAUGUCAUUUGUAUGUAACGUAGAUCUUUAUAAGUAAGUUCUCUAUGGCCUAUAGAUGCAUAUGAUUAGUCAGUAUUUUUCAGAAUUUUGAAUGCCCUUAGAUUUAACAUGCUCUUUCCAGUUCCCCAUAAAUCCCACCACUCCUUAUUUCAUUACACUUGCUAUAUUACUUGCCUGACUCCUGAAGGCAUUUGAGUUUGGAACCCUGUAUUUUGCAGAGGUGAGAAUUUCAGGCAGAGGAAAGAGACUUGUUCGAGGUCUCACAAUAACUGGCCAACUCAAAACCUAAACUCCAGGCCUCCUGACACUCAAGCAGCACAGUACCUGUGAUUAAUAGCCACAGUCAGAGCUAUUUGCCUAAGUGUACAGAAAAGAUCAGUGGAAGUGAGAUCUGAGAGGUGGUGAGCAAAAUCCAGGAAGCUAUAUUAAGAUUAUGGCAGCUGCAAAUAAGCACUUUUGAAACAAAUCAAGAUUUAGGGCUGAAAGAAUGAGUCAGGCGGUCUAAGUUUGAACCUUUAAGAGCUAGCUUUAUUUGUUAAACCAAAUCAAGAUUCUCUACCCUCACAUUGUUCAUCUCUCAACCACCCAUACCCCUACUUACAUCAACACUGCAUACCUCAUUCUGACCACAAGGCGUCACUCUUGUUACCAUUGUCUCAGAGAUUGUUUCCCAAAUAGCACCAGGGGUUGACAUGAGAGCAAAAGGUGAGAGUGGGAGCACUGUGUUAAGUCCUGGGCAGAUAACUAGAUCCAGGUGUGUUUUGGGAAGGCUGUUCAAGGUGGCAGGGGCUCAAGAAGGCUAGGUUAGCAGGCAUGGUGAGAAUGGAAGGACAAUGUUUU